CUCAUUUUUGUCGGGACAGCUUUCAUACAAUACAAACUAAAGUUAGACAUCAUUGCAAAUAAUUUCCUCGAAAUCCUCAAUUUGUUAAACAUAUUGUACCUACAUUUGUAUAUAUUGCUUUGGUUUGUUGCGAAGUAGCGCAUGAAAAGAUGUCAUUGUGCUGUUCACCUACCGUAUACAACUGCAAGUAAAAUUUCGUGCAACCAUUGACGUACUAAUUGCACUGGUAUCAGUACCACAAAUCUUUGUUAUUCCACUAACAUAAAUUAAAACAACUUCAUUCCCUCUUUACGUCGAAGAACGAGUUUUUAGUAUGACUAGUUUCAACAUUAGUGUGACAAACGCGACUCCCAUGAGAUAACGCCACAAAAAACUCGAUCGAACGAAGGUUAAAGAUGUAGUAGUAUCUUGCCCAUGGUCCUUAUUUUGGGUAUGCGGAAAUUCAAAACGUUUAUUUUAAGUAUCCUCGAACUGCAAGGUACGACGAAGGACAAUGCGACGCAACGUUCUUACACCAGCCAACUCCCCAAUGUAUUCAAAUUGGUCGGAAUAAUUCCGUACCUAUAUGGAAUAAUAAGCAAUUUAAACAAGUUAUGCGUUCACCGAUGGACUGGCGAUUAGAAAAGUUUACAAGAAAAUUGAUAAAUUGAUCGAUUCCCAAAAUGGUAGCGAACUGGAUCUCGCCGAAGAUAGCAGACAUGCUAUAAACUACAAGUUUCCAUAUACAUUCUGUUGCUUUCUCCAAAUUGAAUAAUUUUAGUUUUUUUCGUUGGCAAAAUUCUUACCGUUUUAAUUUUGCGAGAUUCCUUAAGCGUUUGAAUUGAUUUUAUCGGCGAAAUAUAUUCGGCAGUACCGCUAUGAGAAGUUAAUCCUUCUUUCAGGUCAGUGAACAAUAUCAAAAACCUCAACUUGGACAUUUGUGAAUGUCAAGUGAAUUCGUGUUUGCACAAAGUUUUGCUGGUAGGUAGCUGUUUCGUCCUGAACAAAAAAACGGAACUCAAUGAACCCACCCAGACACAACCGUUCCAAUUCAAGUCAAAGUCGAAUUUACCGACAGAUAGUGUAUAGGCAAUUGUUUGGAUUUGCAUAAUAUAAAAACACUGUAGACGUAGAAAAAGUAAAUGAAAUAACGUGUAUCUGUGGAGUAUAUACCCAAGAUUCAAUCUAACAUUACAGACUUCGACGUUUUUUGACUUACUGCAAAAGAUCAGCCGAUUUUUUUAUUCACAUAAAGAAUUAUAAGCUAAGCCACUUUACAGUACCCUUAAAAACUCAUGAAACUCGUCCAGUAGACAGAAAAUGUAACAGAUGGUCGCUUUAGGCUUGGAAUCAAAAUUUACAAAAUUGCCAGUACCUAUAGGAAAUUUUAUACGUGUGCCGCUUUAUAAGGAAAGAUAACGGAACUAAUGCGAGAAAAUAAAGCGCGUUAAGAUAAGAAACGAGUGUUCAAUCAAAUAAGAGUCCAAAUUUUGCAAGUGACGCAUAAACGUGGAGCACCAAUUAACUUCCUGUAAAGGCCUCGUGUUUCAAAAUAAAACAGAAAAUCGGUUCACAUACGCGAAUUUAAAGCGGAAAACUUAGCUCACACCAUAGGUCUAUUGACCGGUACAAAUUUUGCAUUGAGUAAAUUUAUUUAAAUAUACGAAAGAGUGACCACAGAAGUGAGAAUUGACAUUAUUACUGCCAGUGGUGGAGUAAAUAUGUUUAUAAAAAGGGUAUCAAAAGUUACUGAAAUUUAAGAGUGAUAUUUUUUUAACAUGUUUGAAUUCAGGGAUAGUUUUUUUUUUUGUAAAUUGCAUAUGGAAUGGAAAACACGCCAAAAAUUACAGACGUUUAAACUGAAAACAUGUGGGGGAUGAGGGAAGACAACAGGAACAACCCUCAGCAAGUGAAGAAGCGUGAACAAAAAAGAAGACAACAUCCAGAAGCAGCAAGUCAGUAACGUUCAAGGAUAUUGCAACUAGCAAGCAUGAUAAAGGCAUUGAUCAAAGAAACGAGCAAGGCACAGAAAAAAAAACAAGAAAUCCAAAUUAGCGUAUUAGAAGGCCAUCAGAAAAAAAAGAAACCAGAAGAGAAGGAAAAGAGAUACUCGAAGAUGUGCGCCAAGAUCUCAGGGCGAGCCAGAAGAUUAAAGCUGACCAAGAGAAGCCAAGAGAAGAAACCAAAGAAGAAAUAUAUCGCCUAUGCAAGUGAAGUUAGGUGCAGUUAAGAAUGAAGUUUAUUGAAGUGUUUUAUGUUUUUGAAUAGGUUUUUUUUAGGUUAGAUAGCUUAGUUGUUGGGAUGAUUCCAGUCAGUUUAGAUUUUUUGUUAAUAAGGUCUGCUAACUCAGGCCGAAGCUGCCCUUAGUUUUUUGUUGCUCAUUAACCUUUCAUCGUGUGUCGAAGAACCCGAAGUUAUGAACCCCCGUACAUUUAUGAAAUCGGCCAGCUUUGCUGAACACCCGGUAUCGAGAAGCGUUUUAAGUUUGGUGCUUCGUUACUAAGGAGUUCCUGAAUUUACUUAUUUGCUCGACGAGUGAGUUUUCAUUUUGUUUAAUUGUAUAUUGGAUUACAGAUAACGCAUCGUAGUAGUGUAUUUAUGAGUUUGAGUAUAUGAUUUUUUCUUGCAGCCACCAAAAGCUGGUGUAACCGGGGAGAAGAAAGACAAUUAAUAUUUUGAGAUUUCAGCGCCGUUAAUUAAUUAUUAAGCAGUUUAGUUUCCAAUAAUAAGUGAAAAUCAGAAUAGAAGCGAGUUCCCAAUCGAGGUGUUGGUACGUUAUCAGUUUGCAGCCUUGCAUAUGUGUAGAUAACGACAACAGUCGUUGUGUCCGGAAAAUACCAAUUAGGCCUAGGUGUUAAGUGGAUUAAUGAGUAUUGAAGUUUGAAUGCGCCUAAUUGACCGACGUUUUAAUGAGUUGCAGUUUUCAAAAACGGUCGUGAGAGAUGAUUCCGAACGCGCUGUAAUUUUUCCAGAAGGUUACAGGUUAUCCCAUUUCUUCCGAUAACUGCACGCCGAGUAAUUCAUUAAAAACCGAAUUAAUUUGAAUCGGUUUAGUACUGAAUACAGCGAGGAGAUGGAAAUUCCCUAUUCCACUUCCCCAAACUCCGGAUUUCUUUAUAAGGUUAACUCUUGAUUUUGUGAGGGAUCUUUUGCUGUUUGCCAUUUUUGAUUCUUGCCCAACUUUUUCUACCGCUCCGUUAUCGUAAAGGUGAGCCGCCAUUUUCUGGACCUGACCUACUGAUUCCUGGAACUACCGUUUCUCCGGUUGAGUUUUCACGCGGAGAGACCGAGACCGACCCGCCAAACCGUGGCUAUCGCCGACCUCGACCAGGCGCGAGAUUUUCGCUUGAUGGCGCCAGAGUCAGCCGAUUCUUGCUGCCGUUUCGCCAUUGUACACCAACAUAACUGGUUGUCGCCAAUUGCAGCUAUUAAAUCUGUUAAUUACAACAUAAUUUGUAUAUUUAUUAACGAACUCCUAGUGAGGUCAUGAUAUUGGACUGUCUGUGCG